CCUACGGGUGGCAGCAGUGGGGAAUAUUGGACAAUGGGGGCAACCCUGAUCCAGCCAUGCCGCGUGUGUGAAGAAGGCCCUCGGGUUGUAAAGCACUUUCAGUGAGGAAGAACGCCUGGUGGUUAAUACCCAUCAGGAAAGACAUCACUCACAGAAGAAGCACCGGCUAACUCCGUGCCAGCAGCCGCGGUAAUACGGAGGGUGCGAGCGUUAAUCGGAAUUACUGGGCGUAAAGCGCGCGUAGGUGGCUUGGUAAGCCGGUUGUGAAAGCCCCGGGCUCAACCUGGGAACGGCAUCCGGAACUGUCAAGCUAGAGUGCAGGAGAGGAAGGUAGAAUUCCCGGUGUAGCGGUGAAAUGCGUAGAGAUCGGGAGGAAUACCAGUGGCGAAGGCGGCCUUCUGGACUGACACUGACACUGAGGUGCGAAAGCGUGGGUAGCAAACAGGAUUAGAUACCCUAGUAGUC
rnacentral:rRNA from 1 species